UCCAAUGAUGCCAUGCCCAACAUUUGGAGGUGCGGACGUCUCGAUCCGGUAUUCCUGUUUGCAGGAAGAACCUACCCGUAGUCCCUGUAUCCACUUGACAUUCACGGGCCGAGUCUGAAGA